CAAUCUCGGGCAAUGAGUAUAAUGUUUCCAUGUUUGUUUACAAUGAACAGAUUUUGAAUCCCUAUGUACCAAUGGCGCUUAGGCUCUCUGGCAUUCUAAUAUCCUUUUUUACAAUCUAUUUUGUAAUCGAUUUCUGAUUGGAGAUCACUGACUAGAAUGUUUUCUUUUCUCUUCUCAGGUGAAAUUGUUAUCGUUUAUGAACGGAAAGUGAAACUCCUCUAUGGUGAUGUUCAGUCCCUUUUAUCUCACAUUUGUUGAAGUUAAAUUGCAAUUUUCAGUAUCAUCUAGGUUAACAGUCUCAACUUUUCCGUUAAGCUAACCAUUGUUGUUCUCUCAGCUAAUGCCAAGAACAUCAAAUUGUUUGAACGUGUUGAUUUGUGUAUUAUCUAUGAUAGCUUUGAGGAGACACAACCAAACUUCACUUCUGGAGAUCAUAUGAAGAUCCAACCUACUCUCAUACCCUCCUAACUCUGACAGAAUGAAACUCCAUGUCAGUAACAUGAUAUGUGCGCAUUUCAAGAUGUUUUUUUUUUGUUUCUUUCUCUUUUAUCUUCAUGAUAUUCUAAACAAUCUUUUACAUUUUUUUCCUUUUUCCAACAGGGUUAUGCAAUUAGCUUUCCAACAGGCAACCUUGAGCUUAAAAUCUUGAGUUGACCAGAGAGGAAGGGAAGAGAACCAUGAGUUGAGAGAAUCGGGGUUAGUCAAAUCGGAUGAAUUGGGAGGAAACGGUCGAAGGGAGAACGAGGCAAAGAGGAUGGGAGAUGGGUUUGUGGUCUGAGUAUGAUUUGAAAGAUGGUAGAGGAUGAAGGAGGGAUAAGCCCAGUUGGUGGAUUAACAAGGAACUUGUGCGGCGAUGAAGUUUGGACCUUGAAUGCUAUUGGGGUAGUGGCGGAAAGAGACCUGAGGCGGACGUUGGCNNNNNN
rnacentral:lncRNA from 1 species